GUUUGGGUGGUCCGGGCACACCACGAUCUGCUCUAACCCCUCCACUCCUGAGGGGGCUGGAGGGGGAUCCAUCACCCCUUCCUGGUUACUGCCUCCACCUCUGAUCCAGCAGAACAAACCUCUCCUCCUGUGCCAGGACUGCUGGUGCUCCCAACCUGACCCCAGCUGCUGGUGUGUCCAUCUCCCCUGUGCUGCCCGCUGGAGCAUGCUCCCUCCUCUGCUCGCCAGGUGCCUUCCUGAAGGGACAGACCUCCAAAAGGUUUCCACCACUUCCUCCCACAGCAGUUUUACCACUUCUCUCUCCCCUGAACCGGACAUCUCUGUGCAUCCUUUACGUGGCAGAUGGUACAGCCAUGUUUGCCUGUACCCUCGCACAGUCACCCUGAACUCCAGCUGCGGAUGCACAGCCAUGAGGUUUCUGAUGGAAGUGUGGAGAGGACUCCUUGUUGAGGAAUAGCCCUUUGAAAUUAAAGAUGUCGAUUGAGAAGGAGGCUCUGAAUAUCUGGAGAACACAGUCCUACCCAUCACCCCCUGGUACAACCCUGGAUAUAGAGCAGGGUCAGUGCUGUGAGUGUCUUCUUUCUUUUACAAGGCCAGCUUUUUUUGGUGUGUGAUAGUAUGGUCAGUGACACUGGCAAAAAGUCAAAUUUAGGAGCCUACUUAGGGACACAGGCACUGUUGCUGUGUGAAAUCCUGCCUGCAUCCAUAGUAUUACAUAAAAUCACAUACCACAUAAAUUUAAAUGAUUUUUGAUACAUGAUUUCUGCUAGUACACACCAAAACUGAGCAAACUUGCUUCAAGCUCCAGACUAUUUUAUAAGAUAAAGUGGUGCAAGGAGCACCAUGAAAAAGGAAGUUUUAGGGCUUUGUCUAUUAUUCUGAUUCUCUAAGUUAAGAUGGCCAGAAUAAAGGAAGCAUAAACUAAUUCAUUAAAUCAUUGUGUAAUUACAAUUUUAUAAACUGAUUUUAAAAAUGUAAUCUAACAUAGUAUUUUAAACUGGAAAAAAUGUGAUGAUGCUUGGUUUCAGACUGCAACAUCCAUAAAGUUGUAAGACACAGUCAUUUGGAACAGCAUCUCACAGACUGCAGUCACUAAAACAGAUGUUUUGGAUCUUACCCGGACAGGAAGCAAAUGUCCUAGUGAAAAAACAAGAGAUUAUUCCCUUACUUCCCUGCUUUGCUGCAUCAUCACUUAAAAAUAUCCAGUUAUAAUAAAUUGGAGAUCUAUUUGAUCUGAAAAUGCUAGAAAUUGGAUGGAGGUAAAAGGCACACGCAGAGGGUGCUGUGACACCUGGUGACAGAAUUCAGCUCUGCUAGAGAAAUUCUGGAAUGCAGUGUCUAUUCAGAGAAAGUGAGACAAAUCCUUCCAGGUAGCUAUGGAGCAAACAAACAUGUUAAUAUUGGGAUAAGCCACUCAUCCAGUAUUUGCUCCCAUAGCAAUGCAUCCUACAAGAAACUCCAAUGCCUGUGUAUAGGGUGAGCUCCUGUGGGGGCAUAAACUCUGAAACCAUCUGGCCUUCCUGGGCUCCUCCUCAGGCAAUGCACCCCUCCCUUAGAACCUGCUCUGGUCAACACUUCCUCUCAAGCCCUCGAUUUUGGCCCUCACAUGCUAAACAUCCAGGACUGCAAAAGACACAUUGCUGGCUCUGCUGGUAGGUCACCUCCUCCAGCCCACUCCACAGACAGCAGGCUCCAUGCUCUGCUCAUGCUCUUUGUUUGGUGUCCCUGCCUGACUCACAGAGCUGGGUAUGGUGUGGAUGAGAGGAA